UGAAAUCAUCACGAGGAGAUUAGACAUCACCCCAUAUAGCCUUUGGUUGAGCCUAACAAAAGAAAUGAAAGGAAGGGGAAGAGAAAUGAAGGAAGAUGAAUGAAAGGAAGGGUCACAUAAAUAAAGGAAGAAGAAUGAAACCGAGGGGCAAAGAAAUGAAGGAAGAGGAAUGAAACGAAGAGGCAGAGAAAUGAAAAGGCAGAUGAAUGAAAUGAAGGGACAGGGAAAUGAAGGAAAAAGAGGGACUGUGAUAGGGUGUAUGACCAUAUAUUAUAAUUGAUGGGUGUUUGGGCGGA
rnacentral:lncRNA from 1 species